UUAAACCCACUCCCUGCGAUAAAGCGAGUCAGUUUAACAGUUUUGUUAGACAGAGGUCCAGCUAGGCGUAUCUUCUUCUACCUGUUCCAAGGGGUUUUACCAGCUAAGAAUCAGCCAUGCAAAGGUCUUCGCUAUUCGCCCUGGCAAUCCUUCUGCUGACGGUGUACCAGCUCAGCAUGUUGUGCACUGUGGCUGAGGCCUGUUCCAUGGACUCGCAGACCAACAAAUGCGUCGGCUCGUGUACCGGGGGUAAAGAAUGUCAGAUGGCCUCGGCUUCCUACUCCAACGGGCAGUGGACAUACAGAUGCGAGUGUAUUUAUGAUUAUUAUUAACGGUCCUGAAACUUGUCGCUGAACCCGGGACGUCCACGUCAGCAGCCUUAUGGCUGAACCCUUUAUAAUCCGAUAUAACCCUGUCACAUAUGAUGUACAUGUAAACUGUAUUAUUUACCCCUGAGUUUUCACAUAUACUUGGAGCAAAUAAACAGAACCAUAAUGUGAAAUUCUGUCUGACUGAGAGACAUCAGAAUGAUCCUGAACCCGGGGCUUUCAGUUCUCACGAGAGCUGCAAUCAGUGUAUGAAGCUUGACGUUAAUAAAUGGUACAAGCAUAA